CAUGACAAUAAGCAGGAAAAUAAGGACAAUAAAAACACCCCCGGUCAUACUAAUAUUAAACUUUAUUGAUUAUUUGAGACAGGCAGCAUUAUUAUCAUUAUUACUAUUAUUAUUAUUAUCAUUAUUAUCUUUUAUGCGGCAACAAUGAGGAUAAAUAACAAGGAAGGGAAGGAAGGAGGGAAGGAAGGAAGGGAGGGAAGAGGAAAUGGAAGAAAAGGAGGAGAGGUUGAAGGAAGGAAGGGAAGGAAGGAGGGAAGGAGGGAUGGAAGAAAGGAAGGGAAGGAAGAAAGGAAGGAAGGAAGGAAAGGAAGGGAGGAAGGAAGGGAGGGAGGGAAAGAGCGACAAGGUUUAGCAGGAAAAGAUUACGCAAGACAAACUGGAGUGAAAAGACUGAUUAUAGAAAGAGAAAAUAUUUAUACUGUAGAGAAAAGAGGGAAUAUUUAAACUUCAGGCAAGAGAAGAUAUUUAACCUUUAGGCAAGAGAAAAUAUUCAAACCAUAGACACAAGAAAAUAUAGUCAAGUUUGGAAGUUACAAGAGAGAGGUGAGGUUAGGUUCGUACGGGCUGUGAAGAGGAGAUAAGAAGGAAAGGAGGAGAGAAGGGAGAUAAAGAGGAAUGAAAGGGAGAAAGGGAAGGAGAGAAGAAAGGGAGAGAGGUAGAAGGAGGGAAGGAGGAGAGAAGGAGAGGAGGGAAAGAGAAAUGGGUAAGAAGGAAGAAAGGGAAGGAGAGAAGGAAGGGAGAGAGGUAGGAGGGAAGGAGGGGGCAUCACAACACACAAUGGUAAUAUAAGUUCUAUAAGUGAGUCUGGCGGUGAGCGCGUCCUGCCAUCAACAAUAAGUGGGUAAAAUACUUGGGCGCAUAACAAGAGUAUAGACGACGCACACACACACACACACACGCACACACAUAGUCCCUCUCACACUCACACGUACACACACACAGAGUUGCAUGUUCACUACCUCUCUCACGCACACACACGCACAUAAUCACUCUCUCUCACAUUCACAUAUAGAGUCGCUUGUUCUUUC